rnacentral:rRNA from 1 species
AUUGAACGCUGGCGGCAUGCCUUACACAUGCAAGUCGAACGGCAGCACGGGAGCUUGCUCCUGGUGGCGAGUGGCGAACGGGCGAGUAAUACAUCGGAACGUACCCUGAAGUGGGGGGAUAACGUAGCGAAAGUUACGCUAAUACCGCAUAUUCUGUGAGCAGGAAAGAGGGGGAUCGCAAGACCUCUUGCUUUAGGAGCGGCCGAUGUCGGAUUAGCUAGUUGGUGAGGUAAAGGCUCACCAAGGCGACGAUCCGUAGCGGGUCUGAGAGGAUGAUCCGCCACACUGGGACUGAGACACGGCCCAGACUCCUACGGGAGGCAGCAGUGGGGAAUUUUGGACAAUGGGCGCAAGCCUGAUCCAGCCAUGCCGCGUGAGUGAAGAAGACC